rnacentral:rRNA from 1 species
UACAGAGGGGGCAAGCGUUGUUCGGAAUUACUGGGCGUAAAGGGCGCGUAGGUGGCCUUCUAAGUUGAACGUGAAAUCCCUGGGCUCAACCCAGGAACUGCGUCCAAGACUGGGAGGCUUGAAUCCGGGAGAGGGAUGCGGAAUUCCAGGUGUAGCGGUGAAAUGCGUAGAUAUCUGGAGGAACACCGGCGGCGAAGGCGGCCCUCUGGAUCGUUGCUGACGCUGAGACGCGAAAGCGUGGGGAGCAAACAGG